rnacentral:sRNA from 1 species
GAAUGGCCAAAGGUCGAACCUCAGGUAGCAGCUGUACCCCUUAAUGUUGCCAGCGCUUUGGUUGGUGUAGUACUGGCCGAGGUCGUCAACGUACCUCUUCAGGCACUUCUGGCACUCGCUCCCGCUAGGUCCCUCGUGCACUGCGCCAGCCCGUACAACCGCG